AAUAUUGGGACAUAUAAAAAAACACAACUCUGUUCCGCAGAGUAGUUGUUGACAUUAUAGUUGCGCAGGCACUUAGUUGACUCUAGAGAACCUCUGGCCAAUCGCACAUCCCCGUGACGGCGACUUUGUAUUCAGAUGCCAUCCAUAUCAACUUUCGAUGCCAGUUUCUGCGCCUACCAUGGUGACCAUGGGUAACGGGGAAUCAGGGUUCCAUUCCGUACAGGGACCCUGAGAAACGGCCACAACACGCAAGGAAGGCAACAGGCGCGCAAAUGACCCACUCCAGACGUGGGAAGGUAGUGA